CACUUGGUCGCGGCUUACCGCGUCGCUCAGUCGCUUCGCGGCACCCAGGAAGGUAUGUCGUAUUUGCUGUUACUGUGUGUCUUCGCGGAAUUGGAGUGACUUUAAAAGAUGUCUAAACGCCGUCUUGAUUGGAAAGAAUCGCUAAAACCGGAUGUUACUGUUGGCAAAAAAAGAGGAAAAAUAAACAUUUUAAAAGAUGAAACCUAUAAAAAUGAAAAUGGUAAAUUGACUCUUGUGUCUAGUAUUAAGACUAAAAAGACAUCCACGCAAACAAAUACGAUUAGCAUGAUACGUUACGCACUGUCUCAAUGCAAGAACAUAAAGACAAUUCAAAUUAAUUAUUUGAUUCCUGGCCAUACCUAUAUGCCGGUGGAUAGUGUUCACGCUACCAUUGAGACUAAAAUAAGAAAGUGUAUCGUUUGGGCACCAUCACAAUGGCCUACUAUAAUGGAAUUGGCACGUCUGGAUCCAGAGCCAUACAAAGUUGAAGUACUCAAUGGAAAAGAUUUCAUUGGUUUUGACGUUAACUCUACAUUUAAUAAAAAACAAAAGCUAUCAAUUUCAAAACUAAGUAUUGCUACCUUCAAGAAUCAAGAACCCAACUUGAUGUAUAUUAAAAAUUCAAUGUUACCUGACGCAGAAACCAUAACAAUUCCUUUGAGUCCAUUAAAAAAUACAAAUUGUUUGAAGGAUAUGUUAUACCCUACAGCAUUAGGAAUAUCUGCCAAAAAAUACAAGGAUUUAACGAGUCUAGUCAAUAAAAACAUAAUUCCUUCAAGGUUUGCUGCAGAAUACAAAAAUUUAAAAGUAAGCAUUACUGCAAAGGAUUACUUAAUGGACACAGAUGAAGAAGAAAUACAAGAAAUAGAUAGUGCAAAUUGAUUUAAAAAUUGUUAAACUGAUUACAUUUUGAUUUUAUGAUAUUUUAUAAUGUUUUUAAUUUACCCUAAAAUAAUUUAUUUAUUCAACAUUUAUUGUUCACAAAACAUACAUAAACUUUUGUUUUUGUUCUUUCCAGAUAAUUUCCAGAUAAAUAUUUUAUUUUGUUCUCACAAAAUAAAUAAAUUUCCAUAGUUACAGCGUUAUGUUUUACCAUCCUUUCAGUAUUUCUAGCAGUAACGACAAAUGAAAUGCAUCUAGUUAUACACAAGAAUAUCAUUUACUUCAGAAUUGACACAGAUAAUUUAUUGGUUUAUGUAAUUACAUCAAAUAUUCUUUA